ACCCGCACAAGCGGUGGAUCAUGUUGUUUAAUUCGACGAUACGCGAAGAACCUUACCAGGUCUUGACAUCCCCUGCAAAGCUAUGGAGACAUAGUGGAGGUUAUCAGGGAGACAGGUGGUGCAUGGUUGUCGUCAGCUCGUGUCGUGAGAUGUUGGGUUAAGUCCCGCAACGAGCGCAACCCUUAUUGCUAGUUACCAUCAUUAAGUUGGGGACUCUGGCGAGACUGCCAGUGAUAAACUGGAGGAAGGUGGGGAUGACGUCAAAUCAUCAUGCCCCUUAUGACCUGGGCUACAAACGUGAUACAAUGGCUGAAACAAAGGGCAGCGAAGGAGCGAUCUGGAGUGAAACCCAAAAAAGCAGUCUCAGUUCGGAUUGAAGUCUGCAACUCGACUUCAUGAAGUCGGAAUCGCUAGUAAUCGCGGAUCAGAACGCCGCGGUGAAUACGUUCUCGGGGUUU
rnacentral:rRNA from 1 species